UUAAGAGAGAGGCAUCAGACUCGUGCGGUGCAAAUUAUUUUGGACCGAGAAAACCAGAUGAUAGACUGUCUGAUAAACAUUCGCCAUAUCACCCGCUUAUUCUUUUUCACCUUCGUCACUUGUGCUUGUCUUUGGUGGAUUAUUUGCCCACGACCGUCUAAGAUGUCUCUUACAACAACUAUGACAGACAUGGGUCCAAUCUCUGGAGUUGAGGAUCAGGGACAUCUCUCCAGGCUGCAGAUGUUGGAGAAAAAAAUUAACUACCUUCUACCAGAAGUAG